rnacentral:rRNA from 1 species
UACGAAGGGUGCAAACGUUGCUCGGAAUUAUUGGGCGUAAAGCGCGCGUAGGCGGCUUGGCAAGUCGGAUGUGAAAUCCCUCGGCUCAACCAAGGAAGUGCAUCCGAAACUGCUGAGCUUGAGUACUUAAGAGGAUCGCGGAAUUCCCGGUGUAGAGGUGAAAUUCGUAGAUAUCAGGAAGAACACCCGUGGCUAAGGCGGCUCUCUAGUACGGUACUGACGCUGAGACGCGAAAGCGUGGGGAGCGAACAGG